CCUACGGGCGGCAGUAGUGAGGAAUAUUGGUCAAUGGACGAGAGUCUGAACCAGCCAAGUAGCGUGAAGGAUGACGGCCCUACGGGUUGUAAACCUCUUUUAUAAAGGAAUAAAACGAGGCACGUGUGCCUUUUUGCGAGUACUUUAUGAAUAAGGAUCGGCUAACUCCGUGCCAGCAGCCGCGGUAAUACGGAGGAUCCGAGCGUUAUCCGGAUUUAUUGGGUUUAAAGGGUGCGUAGAUGGGUUGUUAAGUCAGUUGUGAAAGUUUGCGGCUCAACCGUAAAAUUGCAAUUGAUACUGGCAGUCUUGAGUACAGUUGGGGUAGGCGGAAUGCGUGGUGUAGCGGUGAAAUGCUUAGAUAUCACGCAGAACCCCGAUUGCGAAGGCAGCUUACUAACCUGUGACUGACAUUGAUGCUCGAAAGUGUGGGUAUCGAACAGGAUUAGAUACCCUUGUAGUC
rnacentral:rRNA from 1 species